rnacentral:lncRNA from 1 species
GAGACUGAAGAUCCUGUUGUUGACAAUGAGAAGAAUGUUAUAACUGAGAAGCAGCAAGGAGAGGAGGAUGCUGCAGAUGCCAAUAAGGACACUGCUGAGAAGCCAGAAGAGAAGGAGCCAGAAGAGAAGGUAAAUUGUUCCUUUUGAACCUGGUCAUAUCUUGAGUUGUCUUCAUAAACAAACAGAAAAGUUCCAUCAUCUAGAACUUCAAUUGUUAUAAUUUUUUUAUUUUUCAGAGGUAUUUCUGUCAAGCUGGAUUAGUAAGACAGGAUUUAUUAUCUACUAUGAAUAUAGAUGGAUCAGAACUGUUUUAAAUUUUUUUGCAUGAUGUCUAAUUUCAUCUUCUAAAUUUUGGCAAGAUCCUUCUCCAGGUGUCCUGUAUAUAAUCCCUGAUUUGUGCAAGUGAUGAAUUUUUAACUUGGUGUUAAAUAUUACCAAUCAAGGGCCUCCUGUUUCAUACAAGUUUAGUGAAAAUGAUGAUGUGCAUGCUUAUUUUGUAAGCAAUUGCAUUUAAGAUUCAGUUUAUGCUUCCCUGGGGAAGUCACUGAUAAAAUCUUAAAUGUUUGUUGGUUAAAUUUUUUUCUUAUACAUGUAGAUUUGAACUCAUAUGGCUGAUGGAAGGGCCUUGAUUACUUGUUUUUGAAGUGCGACUUUUGAUCUAGAUAUUUCUAUUCAAGCACCUUUUUUCUGUGCUUUACAUACAUUAUCAGCUUCUGUUGCAGCUGUUUACUUAACCUUGGCAUAUUCUACUACUAAGAGUUUGAUUAAGAGAUUAGUCAAAUUAAAAGUUGCUUACAUUGAUUAAUCACCAUUCAGAACAAGUUUUGUGUAAUUAGAAUCAUUGGAUGCAUAGACUGUUUUUUUGUCAACUUUUUCAGUCACAGCACGAAAUUCAGUUGGUUUCAUCUGAAAGUCAAAACUCCGAAACAUCAUUUACCCAGAUUGAUUUUUCAAGCUAUGUGGUGAAAUCACAGUACUGUAACGAUAUCAUGUCGCAAUUGAAGUUUGUUAUGACUAGCUCCAGUGCACAUUGAAAUUCAACUUUCUGUUUUUGUUGCCUUAACUAUUCUGUGUUUUCAUGUUCUAUGCUAGUUUUCAUAAAACCUUCUCCUUUAUUAAUAGGAGAUGACAUUAGAAGAGUAUGAGAAGGUUCUUGAAGAAAAAAGGAAGGCUCUGCUUGAUCUGAAGACCGAGGAGAGGAAAGUUGGCUUGGACAAAGACUUGCAGUGCAUGCAACAGCUCUCGAGUA